GUGUCCUGCGUUGCCCUGGCAGGGACAGAGAGCGGUCCUAGGCGUAGACUCUCCUCCCCCCUUCCCGGCAUACACUGGGAUCCCUUGUAGCUGGGGGAGUGUUUCCGGCGGGCCGCGUGGAGUGUGGCACAGCGUAGAGUGACCGUUCGCCCGCGCUUUUCAGGCUUCAGUGUUUCUCUCCGAAGGUUCUCUGUUUUCGUAAGAGGUUGCUCAGUGGUUUUAUCCAGCGACACGGGUGCGUCCCUGAAUUUCGAAAUGCCUGUUAAAAGAUCACUGAAAUUGGAUGAUCUGUUAAAAGCAAAUUCAUUUGAUUCUUCAAAAAUCACAAGGAAGAUAAGUGUUACAGCCUAUUCUCCAACAACUGGAACCUGUCAAAUUAGCCCAUUUGCUUCUCCCACAAGCUCUAAAGAACAAGAGAACAAAAAUGGACCAUCAGAUGGAAAGAGGAAAAACUGGAAUCACCUCAGUAUAACCAAAAGAAAGGAAUCUACUACAGAAGACAAUGAUGACUGUAUCUUCUGUGUGCCAUACAAUAUGAUGGAUGGAUGGGUAAAGAUGAGGAAAAUGAAACAUCUACCCAUUGGGAGCUUAUGGUCUCAUGUUUUCUCCCCUCAGAAUAUAUCUGAGGAACUUUAUGGAGAAAAGGAAAAUGAUGAAGCUAAAUUUGAAGAUUCAUGGUGUUGCUAUCUAAAGUUGAGAAAUCAUCAGACGAAUUCAUGGAAAUAAUGCAAAAUUUAAGUAAUAUACAGGCUUUGGAGGACAGUAGAGAGCUUGAAAAUCUCAUUGGUAUCUCCCAUACAUCAGGUGUCUUAAAAAGAGAAAUGCAGAAAACAAAAGACCUACGUAAGAGAAAUUUAUGAGUUUUUGAUCGUGUCUCUCUAUUACUUGUUUGCAAACUUAGAACAGGAAGCCACAUAUCUUUUGCCAGGAUAUGUUAUUUCAGGGAUUCUUCUUGAAUGUGAAGGGAAAGAAUGUACCUUGGUAACUGGUAUUAGGCUUUUUUUUAAUGCAGUUCUCAUUCUUUACAAAAGAUAUAAGGUAUUGCAUUUUAUACUUGAUAUUUAUAAGUAUGUAUUGCUUGAAAUUAUUUCUUAUGAAGUUUCUUCCAAAAUGAGAAAUUAUUUAAUAUUCUGUAUUAAUUUUUAAUGUGAGAUUUUUUUUCCUUUAGUGACAAAAGUAACAAAACAAAAACUAUUUGAAAAGAAGAAUUCAGGACUUCCCAACAAAGGCAUUUAGAAGAAAUGCACUCACUAUGAAAACGCCAACUUCUGUAUCUGCCUGAUCAUAUUUAAAGGAACAGAAGAAAUGUUUGUAAUUAAUCUGCCCAAUAAAUACCAGAUCAUAGCACAGGCAGGUGCAUGUCUAGAUAAAAUUUCUUGCAGCUAAUUUAAACUUUCUACACGCACCAGCAGAUAAUCUCAACGUAAAUAAUACAUUUCUUCUUGACCCUUUAAAGUAAGUCAACAUGUAGAAGAGGAUCUUGACUUAUAUUUUGUAUCUCAUAUGCUUCUAUAUACUUUUAGCAUUUGUGGAUACACUUAAUAAAGCAUUAAUAAAAAUGGCACCUUUGGUAGAGCUAUAUAUUUUAAAACUCAGAUUAAAUCUAAUAGUGGUAUUAGGUACCAGUUUUCCCAUUUAAAGCUCCAGAUGUGUAUUUAUUAGAUUCUUUUGAAAGCUUUUAAAAUUUAUAAGUUUAUUUUAGCUAUCUCAGGGAUGAGUCUUCAUUAUAUUCUAGUUAUUCUUAUGCUUGUAGAGAAAAAGUAUUUUCAAACUUUUAAAAUUUCCACAUCUCCUUUUAUAAAAUAUUGGAAUGUAUUUUUCAGUAUAGACUUUUAAAUAUGAAGUUGUUUUUAAACUGAACUACACAGACUCUACUGAAUUUAAAGAAAAGACAUAUCUCAUGGAGCAAUAUGAGAUCCCCUCCAAAUUACUUUGAAGCAUUAUUUUAAAUUUUUAAUUUUCUAGUUUUUUUGGUAUCAUUUGUGCUGUCACAAAAUAAAGGGGAAGAGAGAAUCACAGAAUUGAUAGCACAUUUUUUUAAACCUUAUAUACUUUUCUUUGACCAUUUCCACAGGGAAAAAAAAUGCUAUUCCCUUGUAUUGUAUCUUAUACAAAUUGUCUUGACAAAAUUUGUGUAAGGUAUUACCAUGUCAUUUAAUUCACUGUAUCGUGAAAAUAAAAAUACUAUGAAAAAUUUGAAACAAAAUUUUUAACAAAUUAAGGUUGAAAAUAACUAAUUUUCCAUUUACAGAAAUUUCAGAUUCACCUCUUAAAAUGAAAAUGAGUUAUUUUUUAAAAACUAUUCAUUGAAAUGAUACUAAACAGUAACUCAAUAAAACUAAUUGCCUUCACUAGUGAUUUUAUUGGUACUACUUAAAUAAGGUUUUUAGAGAAUCUGCUAAUUAAGGAUACUUUGUGAUACAGUGCUAAUAGAACAUUGCCUAAAAUAUACCAAAAAGGAUAAUUCCUUUGUGUUCUACCAUUCAAAACUUACCUUAGAAUGUAAGCCAAAACAUAUAAAGAAACCUACAUUAGUCAGGAAAUAAAGGGUUAAGAAGUAGAUUGGUUUCCUGUGUAAUCCAAGUUAUGUAGCUAUUUGCUUAAUGCUAUUAAAUCAGUUACUGUAUGUUUGACCUCUUGAUAUACUAAGCUUUUGCCUUUCAGAACAGCUGGGUCGGCUAAGAAUCCCUUCCCAGUUCUGUUCAUUGUAGAUCAGAUGACUCUCGCUUUAUCACCCUUGGAGGCCACAUGAAGGACAAAGCAGAAAGAUCCACACACAAAACUAAUGUUUAUAUGGGCAGGGGGGCGGGGGGGGGCAGAAGGCGUGGGAUACACUUGGCCCUGAUCUUCCAAUGACCAUAACAGAAGAGAGAGACCAAUUGAGACUUGAAACCAUUAUGUUACUCCAACCAUUAUUUAGUUACAUCCUAUCCAUCUCUUACUCUCUUUCCCUUGAACAGAGAGGCUCCUUUGGCUGCCUUGACUUUUGUAAAUGUUUCACUCACUUAGUUGUGGUUUAUCAUUUGGACAGAAUGCUACAUCGGGGAUUUUUCUCCCCUCCCUAAGGCUUCAAGACAAAAUGACUUCUGUUGCCUCAUUUGAUACAUGAACAUACACCCUGUUCUCUUCAUUUUAAGACGCAUACCUAAGUUUAUUGGCAACAAAGAAAACUGCAUUUUUCAGAAACAGCCCUUCCCUCUAAAAUGAACUGGAAAAUAACUUAGAUCAUUUUUUGACAGGUAUAUCAGUGAAUAAAGUGAGAAGUCUUUAAUUUUUUUGUAUAAGCUAAAUAUCUUUAUAUUAAAAUAUCCCUGUAAUCCUGAAUAUAGCUGAGAGAAAUGCUUUGGAAUUGCCUAUUUCUGAUCUUAAUUCAUCACUGGACAUUUUUGUUAUUUUGGUACUUAAUCCCUCAAAGUUCAAAGUGGACUGUUCUUAAACCGGUUUCUAAUAGAUAUGAGAUCCUUGACUUAUGAGAUAAUUGCUACAAGUCUCCAUUAAAGCUACAGUGUAACUCCAUAUGACUAGAUUAAAUCAUCUGGAAAUGUAUUUUUAUUUAGAAUUCACCUAUAAGAUACCUUGAAUAUGGGUGCAUUCUAUUUUACUAAUGUUUAAAUAAUACUUUCAUUUGCAAAUAAUGUUUCUCUACUCCAACUAUUUAGAAGUUGUCAGAACUUCCUCAUCAUUGAAUUAAAUCAACACCCUGUAUUAAAUGCAAGUUUUCUAUUACAAAAAAUAAAAAAGACUACACCAGCCAGCCAAGAUGCUGACAUUUGGGCACAGUGAUUACAGAUGGUGACCAUGGACAGCGAUGUUCCUGCUGAUUCGGCAGCGAUUCAAGGCUGCUUUUCUGUGCUGACCUGCCCUUUGAGUCUUUAUGCACAUUUGCUUUGAGAAGGAAAUACUUCUUGAUUUUUUGCUUUGUCUAAACCCACUUCCUUUAUCAGACUUACAUAUACCUUGUUGCAUCAGCCUGUAGGUGUCCGUGUCUAGAACCAAAUUUUCUUUGUGUAUAUGUGUUUGGCUUGCAUUGUUUUAAAAUAUACCACCACUUAGUUAGUUAUUAUGCUUUAAUGGCUUAUUAAAGAAAUAUAUUCAUUAAAAACAUGGGUUGAUGGGGAAAUGGUUAUUUUUAUUACAGAGACUGAAGAAAACAUAUCUUUACAUGAGAAUCUACAACAUGGCUACAAUAAAUUAUUUUUACCAACUGAAUACUAUAGUAAAGAUGGGCUUCUUCUGAUAUAGAGGGAUAUAGU